rnacentral:rRNA from 1 species
GAUGAACGCUGGCGGCGUGCCUAAUACAUGCAAGUCGAGCGAACAGAUGAGGAGCUUGCUCCUCUGACGUUAGCGGCGGACGGGUGAGUAACACGUUGAUAACCUACCUAUAAGACUGGGAUAACUUCGGGAAACCGGAGCUAAUACCGGAUAAUAUAUUGAACCGCAUGGUUCAAUAGUGAAAGACGGUUUUGCUGUCACUUAUAGAUGGAUCCGCGCCGCAUUAGCUAGUUGGUAAGGUAACGGCUUACCAAGGCAACGAUGCGUAGCCGACCUGAGAGGGUGAUCGGCCACACUGGAACUGAGACACGGCCCAGACUCCUACGGGAGGCAGCAGUAGGGAAUCUUCCGCAAUGGGCGAAAGCCUGACGGAGCAACGCCGCGUGAGUGAUGAAGGUCUUCGGAUCGUAAAACUCUGUUAUUAGGGAAGAACAAAUGUGUAAGUAACUAUGCACGUCUUGACGGUACCUAAUCAGAAAGCCACGGCUAACUACGUG